rnacentral:rRNA from 1 species
UACAGAGGGUGCGAGCGUUGUUCGGAGUUACUGGGCGUAAAGCGUGCGUAAGCGGUUUUGUAAGUUUGGUGUGAAAUCUCCCGGCUUAACUGGGAGGGUGCGCCGAAAACUGCAAGGCUGGAGUGUGGGAGAGGUAGGCGGAAUUCCUGGUGUAGCGGUGAAAUGCGUAGAUAUCAGGAGGAACACCUGUGGUGUAGACGGCUUACUGGACCAUGACUGACGCUGAGGCACGAAAGCGUGGGGAGCAAACAGG